rnacentral:siRNA from 1 species
AACCGAAAUCAAGUGCUGUGUGG